rnacentral:misc_RNA from 1 species
GAUGAAGAACGCAGUGAAAUGCGAUAAGUAAUGUGAAUUGCAGAAUUCAGUGAAUCAUCGAAUCUUUGAACGCAUCUUGCGCUCCUUGGUAUUCUGAGGAGCAUGCCUGUUUGAGUGUCAUUAAAUUCUCAACUACACUGACUUUGAAUUGGUGUGGCUUGGAUUUGGGGGGAAAAUUGUUGUGGGCUUUUUGUAUAGUCUGCUCCCCUGAAAUUGAUUAGCGGUACCUUUGUGGAACUGUCUACAGGUGUGAUAAUUAUCUACAUCUUAGACAUAUGCUGGAAUGCUGCUUUCUAAACCUUACUUGUAUUGACAAUCUUGACCUCAAAUCAGGUAGGACUACCCGCUGAACUUAAGCAUAUCAAUAAGCGGAGGA